UAGUCCACGCCGUAAACGAUGAUAACUAGUUGUUUGCAAUAGAUCGUAAGCGACAAAGCGAAAGCAUUAAGUUAUCCACCUGGGGAGUACGUUGGCAACAAUGAAACUCAAAGGAAUUGACGGGGGCCCGCACAAGCGGAGGAACAUGUGGUUUAAUUCGAUGAUACGCGAGGAACCUUACCUGGACUUAAAUGUAUAGUGACAGCUUUAGAGAUAGAGUUUUCUUCGGACACUUUACAAGGUGCUGCAUGGUUGUCGUCAGCUCGUGCCGUGAGGUGUCGGGUUAAGUCCCAUAACGAGCGCAACCCACGUUGUUAGUUACCAGCACAUAAUGGUGGGCACUCUAACAAGACUGCCGGUGUAAACCGCGAGGAAGGUGUGGAUGACGUCAAAUCAGCACGGCCCUUACGUCCAGGGCUACACACGUGUUACAAUGGUCGGUACAGAGGGCAGCUACUAUGUGAAUAGAUGCGAAUCUAUAAAGUAUAUCACAGUUCGGAUCGGAGUCUACAA
rnacentral:rRNA from 1 species